rnacentral:sRNA from 1 species
AGUUUUAGCGGCCACUGUUCUACGAG